rnacentral:lncRNA from 1 species
CCUAAUAACAUUCUAACAGAUUCAACGAAUAUCUCCUCCCAUUUUCCGAUUCUAAAGUUGAUAUAACAAACUCGCUCCUCCGAAACACUAAAGCCGCCAUGGUUGUUGCUAUCAGAGGAAGGGGUCGCAGCCGGAGCACCACCACCACCUCCGUUCCGUUGCUGCUGCCGGUGCUCUUCCUCAAGUGUGUCAUCCAGCUCCUCCUGCAGCGCGCGCC